ACGAACGCUGGCGGCGUGCCUCAUACAUGCAAGUUGAGCGCUGAAGGUUGGUACUUGUACCGACUGGAUGAGCAGCGAACGGGUGAGUAACGCGUGGGGAAUCUGCCUUUGAGCGGGGGACAACAUUUAGAAACGAAUGCUAAUACCGCAUAAAAACUUUAAACACAAGUUUUAAGUUUGAAAGAUGCAAUUGCAUCACUCAAAGAUGAUCCCGCGUUGUAUUAGCUAGUUGGUGAGGUAAAGGCUCACCAAGGCGAUGAUACAUAGCCGACCUGAGAGGGUGAUCGGCCACAUUGGGACUGAGACACGGCCCAAACUCCUACGGGAGGCAGCAGUAGGGAAUCUUCGGCAAUGGACGAAAGUCUGACCGAGCAACGCCGCGUGAGUGAAGAAGGUUUUCGGAUCGUAAAACUCUGUUGGUAGAGAAGAACGUUGGUGAGAGUGGAAAGCUCAUCAAGUGACGGUAACUACCCAGAAAGGGACGGCUAACUACGUG
rnacentral:rRNA from 1 species